rnacentral:rRNA from 3 species
AAAUUGAAGAGUUUGAUCAUGGCUCAGAUUGAACGCUGGCGGCAGGCCUAACACAUGCAAGUCGAACGGUAACAGGAAGCAGCUUGCUGCUUUGCUGACGAGUGGCGGACGGGUGAGUAAUGUCUGGGAAACUGCCUGAUGGAGGGGGAUAACUACUGGAAACGGUGGCUAAUACCGCAUAACGUCGCAAGACCAAAGAGGGGGACCUUCGGGCCUCUUGCCAUCAGAUGUGCCCAGAUGGGAUUAGCUUGUUGGUGAGGUAACGGCUCACCAAGGCGACGAUCCCUAGCUGGUCUGAGAGGAUGACCAGCCACACUGGAACUGAGACACGGUCCAGACUCCUACGGGAGGCAGCAGUGGGGAAUAUUGCACAAUGGGCGCAAGCCUGAUGCAGCCAUGCCGCGUGUAUGAAGAAGGCCUUCGGGUUGUAAAGUACUUUCAGCGGGGAGGAAGGUGUUGUGGUUAAUAACCGCAGCAAUUGACGUUACCCGCAGAAGAAGCACCGGCUAACUCCGUGCCAGCAGCCGCGGUAAUACGGAGGGUGCAAGCGUUAAUCGGAAUUACUGGGCGUAAAGCGCACGCAGGCGGUCUGUCAAGUCGGAUGUGAAAUCCCCGGGCUCAACCUGGGAACUGCAUUCGAAACUGGCAGGCUUGAGUCUUGUAGAGGGGGGUAGAAUUCCAGGUGUAGCGGUGAAAUGCGUAGAGAUCUGGAGGAAUACCGGUGGCGAAGGCGGCCCCCUGGACAAAGACUGACGCUCAGGUGCGAAAGCGUGGGGAGCAAACAGGAUUAGAUACCCUGGUAGUCCACGCCGUAAACGAUGUCUACUUGGAGGUUGUGCCCUUGAGGCGUGGCUUCCGGAGCUAACGCGUUAAGUAGACCGCCUGGGGAGUACGGCCGCAAGGUUAAAACUCAAAUGAAUUGACGGGGGCCCGCACAAGCGGUGGAGCAUGUGGUUUAAUUCGAUGCAACGCGAAGAACCUUACCUGGUCUUGACAUCCACAGAACUUUCCAGAGAUGGAUUGGUGCCUUCGGGAACUGUGAGACAGGUGCUGCAUGGCUGUCGUCAGCUCGUGUUGUGAAAUGUUGGGUUAAGUCCCGCAACGAGCGCAAC